UACGGGGGGGGCAAGCGUGGUUCGGAAUUACUGGGCGUAAAGGGCUCGUAGGCGGCCAACUAAGUCAGACGUGAAAUCCCUAGGCUCAACCUAGGAACUGCGUCUGAUACUGGAUGGCUUGAAUCCGGGAGAGGGAUGCAGAAUUCCAGGUGUAGCGGUGAAAUGCGUAGAUAUCUGGAGGAAUACCGGUGGCGAAGGCGGCAUCCUGGACCGGCAUUGACGCUGAGGAGCGAAAGCCAGGGGAGCAAACGGG
rnacentral:rRNA from 1 species